rnacentral:rRNA from 1 species
AUUGAACGCUGGCGGCAUGCUUUACACAUGCAAGUCGAACGGCAGCACGGACUUCGGUCCGGUGGCGAGUGGCGAACGGGUGAGUAAUACAUCGGAACGUGCCCAGUUGUGGGGGAUAACUACUCGAAAGAGUAGCUAAUACCGCAUGAGAACUGAGGUUGAAAGCAGGGGAUCGUAAGACCUUGCGCAACUGGAGCGGCCGAUGGCAGAUUAGGUAGUUGGUGGGAUAAAAGCUUACCAAGCCGACGAUCUGUAGCUGGUCUGAGAGGACGACCAGCCACACUGGGACUGAGACACGGCCCAGACUCCUACGGGAGGCAGCAGUGGGGAAUUUUGGACAAUGGGCGAAAGCCUGAUCCAGCAAUGCCGCGUGCAGGAUGAAGGCCUUCGGGUUGUAAACUGCUUUUGUACGGAACGAAAAGCUUCGGGCUAAUACCCUGGAGUCAUGACGGUACCGUAAGAAUAAGCACCGGCUAACUUCGUGCCAGCCGCCGCGGUAA